rnacentral:rRNA from 1 species
GACGAACGCUGGCGGCGUGCUUAACACAUGCAAGUCGAACGGAAAGGCCCUGCUUUUGUGGGGUGCUCGAGUGGCGAACGGGUGAGUAACACGUGAGUAACCUGCCCUUGACUGUGGGAUAACUUCAGGAAACUGGGGCUAAUACCGGAUAGGAGCUCCUGCUGCGUGGUGGGGGUUGGAAAGUUUCGGCGGUUGGGGAUGGACUCGCGGCUUAUCAGCUUGUUGGUGGGGUAGUGGCUUACCAAGGCUUUGACGGGUAGCCGGCCUGAGAGCGUGACCGGCCACAUUGGGACUGCGGUACGGCCCAGACUCCUACGGGAGGCAGCAGUGGGGAAUAUUGCACAAUGGGCGGACGCCUGAUGCGGCAGCGCCGCGUGCGGGAUGACGGCCUGCGGGUUGUAAACCGCUUUCGCCUGUGACGAAGCGUGCGUGACGGUAAUGGAUAAAGAAGCACCGGCUAACUACGUG